GGCCAACCGACAUGGGGCUGUCUCUUCACUCUCCCUCCCGUCAUUUGAUUUGUCAGGGCUGGGAUGCUCGUGAUCGGUUGCCUGUGCGGCUCUACCCUGUUGCGGGUAGCGAAGUUGUCCCUCGAUUGAUAUUUGCUUGCCUCUCUGACAUUUUUUUGUCGUUUGGGCAGCCGAAAUGAUGGCGAAAUCCCUGUGUAGGUGCGUGGUCGAAUGGCCCCGUUGCUCUAACUUGGAAUUUUGCUGGCUCUCACGGAUGCAGUGCCCAGUGCCGGCUCUGCGUGGCUUUGCCCCGCAGACUUCGGGAGGUCCCUUGUACGAAUCACUGUGAUCAGAUGCCGUUUGUCGUGUUGCUUGUUUGGCACGCAAAUCGUAUUGUUCUGUCUGGAGUCGGGAUGAUGAAAGUCAGAAUGAAGUGUCUGGGGCGUGCUCGCGUACUCGGGGAAUGCCUCUCCGAUUGUAUGAGCAGCGAUUUUCGGCUUGCGUCCUGCGAAGGCCUGCCCGUUCGGGUUGGUGCUGGAGCUG
rnacentral:misc_RNA from 1 species